UGGUAAUGUCCAAAUUGGAUUAUUCUCUUUAUUUUUGUUAACGUGGAAACUAACUGUUAUUAGAAUUAUAACUGAAAUUAUGUUUAAUAAUUUAACGAAUCAGUACCGGGAUAAACAUGUUUAACACAUUUUAUGUUUCGUGUUUCAGAAACAAAUAUUUAAAUACAUACAAACUUUUAACAAUAUUUUUAAAAGUUUAUCCCUCUUAUUGUUCGUUAAAUUUGCAUAUAGGUACCUAGACGAAGGAAUAAUUAAGUAAUUCGUGAAAUAUUUAAGCCAGCAACCGUCUUUAGACAUUCCAAAUUUUCUAGUAAACAUUUUGUAAAGGAAAGAUUAUAAUUACCUGUUAUUAUAAUAAACCUUGUGAUUGGUUAUAGCGUUGGGGUAUUCAAUCAACGGUUAUAGUUGAUACGAGGGAUGGCUUUUAAUACUUUAAUACUUGGUUUAAAUACUUUUAUUAUAUUCUGAAACACGAAAUAGGAAAUGCCUUAAAAAUGUUUAUCCUGAUACUGAUUAGUUAAAUUGUUAAACAUAAUUUUAUUUAUAAUUUGUCCGGUGGUGAAACCUGGGUAGUGACAAAGGAAGAUGAAGCCCACCUCAGUACAUUCGAGAGAAGGAUACUGAGAAAAGUGUAUGGCCCGGUGCAAGAGGAAGACGGCACAUGGAGAAUCAAGAGAAACGACGAGGUUAAUGAAUUGAAUGAAGGGUAUGAUAUUGUAACAUUUGUGAAAAGUCAAAGACCGUCAUGGCUGGGACAUGCCCAGAGACAAGAAGAUGCAAAAACAGGAAAAAAAUAUUACAAUAGAAGUCGAUGGGAAGACGAAAAAACGAGGCCCAGAACGAGAUGGUUGGAUAACGUGGAAAACGAACUGAAAACCAUGAAUAUAAGACAAUGGAGGAAAAGAGCAUAAGAGAGAAUGGAAGGACAUAGCCAGACAGGCAAAGACCCAUCCAGGAUUAUGAGGCCAAAAGAAGAAGAAGAAGAUGAUAUUUUAAAACCAUAUCACUUUUUGAUGAUUUAAGGUGUGUUGGCAGUUUUUAGAUGUUAUCUACUGUCAACUACUGACUGCAUACUGAGGGCUGAAAAACAUUUGCGACUGGACUGGGUUAAACACACAGACGCUUUUAAGAAAAGCAGAAGAUAGAAACGAAUUUGAAAUGGUUAUAGCUAACCUUCAUUGCUGGAGUCGGCACUAGAAGAAAAAGUCACCUCUUGGUAUUACCUUAAGAUAAGAUUAUUGAAAUUCGCUACAAAUUUUUAUUACUCGAUCUUUAACGGGAACUACCAUUAGAUUACGUACACGUUUACAAAUAAUGUAGAUGUAUUAAAUAUCUAGUGUUGUUGUCUGGGUCAUUAAACAUAAAACAAAAAGGCGUCUUAUCAAUUCUGACCGAGAUGAUGAUAUGUAAUAUUCAGAUUGGUUUUACAAUCUUAGACAUUAUUCAUAGAAUUGUUAGAAUUAAUAAGACACAUUUUUUAAUUAAAUAUUGAAAGAAUCAGGGAGAAAGAGAAAGAAGGAAAGCUACUUUUACGGUGAACGGAAUAAAUUAAACACUGAUACAGUGUGGAUGUGAAUGUUUUGGAUAUCAUUGAUAUGUUCCAAUUUAAAAAUAUGCUCGUUUAUUGUUAUCUUGCAUUAUGCAUCGUGUGCUAUUAUAAAGGAAAAUACUGGCGCCAUCCUUUUGUGUUACUUCUUGUGUUACAAAACGAAAUAAGAUGGGUCAUAUAAAAUUCACAUUUAAUAUACAAACCAGAUGCUAAGAAGGGCCGUUAAGUUUUACGAAACGAAAUGUAUCCCUAACCAUAUGUUUUUGGUGUGUUCGGUUUAACAUACUGAAUUCCCCAUAAAUUAAUUACCUUAUCAGACCUUAUGUCAAUAACGCACUUUGGAAAUGCAUUCGAAGACGUUUCUUAAAACUACAGAAAGGUUCUGAGCUUUUAAAACGCCAGAUGUAGUAAUUUAUUGUCUUUUCUAGCCAUAUUGUAAAACCGCAAACAUGAUGAUAAUAAUGUUGUGGUCUCUGCAGUAUCGUCACGGCAGGCAGGCAGUUCAGACGCACCGUCGCUGCUCCAAAACAAUAAACAACCCUCUUACGAAAUGAAUAAGCACGCCUUUUAACCAAAAA
rnacentral:lncRNA from 1 species